AUUGGAUUAUAUUUUGCUAGUUACUCGAAUUAAACUUAGAAAUCUUCAGGCGCUGAUUUUAUUCCGAAAGACCUGAAGCUACAAAUAGAGACCUACAUAGUUAACAGCUUGUGGAUUUUACCGUAAGUAGCGUAGACUAUAUAAACUAGAGUCUGUUAGGUAGACACUUUUUUAAAACUCACAUCUAAUUUUAUAUUUUAUAAGCGUUUCAGUUGUUUAUUAUUUUCGUUUUUUUCCCCCCACCAUAAUUUCGUUCAGAAUGGAUUGUGUGUUAAAUUGCUCUAGAGAUUGGAUUUAUAUACAUUUUGGCUUGUGAUCAUGUAAAUAUGAUGUAGCUUAUGUAAAAAAACAACAACUUUGUUUUCAGGUAGAAGGCAUAAUUAAACCGAGAAUAAACAUA
rnacentral:sRNA from 1 species